UACGGGGGGAGCAAGCGUUGUUCGGAUUUACUGGGCGUAAAGGGCGCGUAGGCGGCGGGACAAGUCACUUGUGAAAUCUCCGGGCUUAACUCGGAACGGUCAAGUGAUACUGUCGUGCUAGAGUACAGAAGGGGCAACUGGAAUUCUCGGUGUAGCGGUGAAAUGCGUAGAUAUCGAGAGGAACACCUGCGGCGAAGGCGGGUUGCUGGGCUGAUACUGACGCUGAGCCGCGAAAGCCAGGGGAGCGAACGGG
rnacentral:rRNA from 1 species